GUGUGUGUGUGUGUGUGUGUGUGUGUGUGUGUGUGUGUGUUCGUGUGUGUGUGUGUGUGUGUGUGUGUUAGCAUCAAAUAUUAAUAGACUUGUGUUUUUCAGGCUUGUCACACUAACCUGGAACACUUGUCUGUGCAGGACUGGAGGGAGGGAAACAUCAGGACAUGUUUGUGUGUGUGUGUGUGUGUGUGUGUGUGUGUGUGUAUGUGUAUGUAUAGAGCGAAGCAGGAUCACGUGUAACAUUCCUCAGCUUUUUCGGACACAUGUCGGCAUCCAGGCAUCACGCCGCUCUCACUUGAGUAGAUGCAGAACAAGCAAUCAUUGAAAACGUAACACUCAAAAAGUCACACUCACACAUAUACAGGAUUUCCUGCGCUUUGAUUUUGUCUUUGAACCUUUCUUUCAAACGAGUCUCGCUAUUCUACUGAUUUUUAAUGUGUUCAUUAAACUAUACUGUGUUGUCUAGUCCAUGGAAGUAUGAGGGGACACUGUGUAGGGAGGGGUUAAAAAUGUAGGGGUGGGGCUUAUGCUUAUGAAUGUGAUUCUGAUGAAACAAUGCUUGACUUUUUCUUCUUUAGUUCUCUUUUUCUUUUGUAUUCACUUGGGGCUGAAGGGGGGGGGGGGGGAUUUUCCAUGUCAUUUGCACACUUGUUCAUUGGCUUAAUAAAGGCACUCACUAGGUGUUGUUUGUUAAUAAAAAGCACCGGGCAGGAGCUCGCCUGUCAGUCACCUUCUGUCUUUUUCUGUUUUGCUUGUUCACUUUGGUGCUGUCUCCCUGCUGAGUUUGAUCAUGUUUUUUUUCUGUACAUAUUAUAAAUAUAUAUAUAAUAAAAUGAUGAAAAAGAUCGUCAA